AUGUUCUCGUUUUCAAUAUAUGUUCAUAAUUUCAAAAAAGUUCGUGUUUCAGAAAAUAUUCAGGAAUUUCAAAAAAUGUUCUCAUUUACAAAAUUUAUUCACAAUUUUUCAGAAAAAUGUUCAUGCUUCAAUAAAUGUACGCGGUCUCAACAUUUUGUACUGAUGGAGGAGUGGAGGACUGUUGCGGAAUUCCCUAACGGACGCUCAUUGCAUCGAACUGUUGCUGAUUCGGACAGGGAGACCGAGCGAUCGCUCGUCUUGGGCCGGCCGGUUCAAUUGUUUCAGCGAUCCUGGUUUUGGGAACCUUCUAGAGGUUUCUAG
rnacentral:rRNA from 1 species